UGCAGCAUUAACUGAUAAAGCCCUUCCCAUACAUAGACCUUGUUGUGUCCCUCAGGGCAGGAUGGUUCUUCAGUGGACCACAUUCCUGAGAUCAACUGAUAGGGCUGUGUGCAUCAUUCACCUUCACCCACACAGAGGAUCUGCAAGAGGUUAUCCUUGCCUUCUGGAAGGAAUGCCCCAGGGGCAACAUAUUGCGCAGAGGAGUUCUUUUCUCAUGACAAUCAGACUUCCAGCACGCCAGUAUUAAUCAAUGAUUAGCAUCACUCCCUGUUCUGGAGACAGUUUUUUCUUUUCACCACAGCACAACCACCACCUCCCUCCAUGUCUAUAGGAGAAACACAACCAAUAGGAUUCUGUGUAAAUCACUCUGGGAGUAACAAAAUGAGGAUCUUUACUCAGCUAAGUGUAACUUUUCCUGUUUUGUUGUAAGGCUUUUGACAUGCAACAGGAAGAGAAAACUGUCCCUAGGAAGAUAUGACUGCAAGGUACCUAUGCUGCUGGACAGUUUGGGAACUGGUGGAAGACCAUAGAUGCUACUUUUGACCAUUUUUAGACUGACAUCAUUUGAGGCCGACAUGUCCUUUUGGCUUAUUAAUGUGAUCUGUGUCCUGUCCUAAAUUAAAGGGAAAAUGAACAAAAAAAA